AUACGUAGGGGGCGAGCGUUGUCCGGAAUGAUUGGGCGUAAAGGGCGCGUAGGCGGCGCGGUAAGUCUGGAGUGAAAGUCCUGCUUUCAAGGUGGGAAUUGCUUUGGAUACUGCCGCGCUUGAGUGCAGGAGAGGUUAUCGGAAUUCCCGGUGUAGCGGUGAAAUGCGUAGAGAUCGGGAGGAACACCAGUGGCGAAGGCGGGUAACUGGACUGCAACUGACGCUGAGGCGCGAAAGUGUGGGGAGCGAACAGGAUUAGAUACCCUGGUAGUCCACACUGUAAACGAUGAAUGCUAGGUGUAAGAGGUAUCGACCCCUUUUGUGCCGGAGUCAACACAAUAAGCAUUCCGCCUGGGGAGUACGGCCGCAAGGUUGAAACUCAAAUGAAUUGACGGGG
rnacentral:rRNA from 1 species